CCUACGGGAGGCAGCAGUGAGGAAUAUUGGUCAAUGGCCGAGAGGCUGAACCAGCCAAGUAGCGUGCAGGAUGACGGCCCUACGGGUUGUAAACUGCUUUUAUACGGGAAUAACGCGCCUUACGUGUAGGGCUUUGCAUGUACCGUAUGAAUAAGGACCGGCUAAUUCCGUGCCAGCAGCCGCGGUAAUACGGAAGGUCCGGGCGUUAUCCGGAUUUAUUGGGUUUAAAGGGAGCGUAGGCCGCAUGUCAAGCGUGCUGUGAAAUGUCCGGGCUCAACCCGGGCCUUGCAGCGCGAACUGGCGUGCUUGAGUCCGCGGAAAGCAGGCGGAAUUCGUCGUGUAGCGGUGAAAUGCUUAGAUAUGACGAAGAACCCCGAUUGCGAAGGCAGCUUGCUGCAGCGGAACUGACGCUGAUGCUCGAAAGCGCGGGUAUCGAACAGGAUUAGAUACCCCUGUAGUC
rnacentral:rRNA from 1 species